rnacentral:rRNA from 1 species
CUGCAGCCCCGCCCCCUGGAGGAUAACGGCCUUCGGGUUGUAAACCUCUUUCAGUAGGGAAGAAGCGAAAGUGACGGUACCUGCAGAAGAAGCGCCGGCUAACUACGUGCCAGCAGCCGCGGUAAUACGUAGGGCGCAAGCGUUAUCCGGAAUUAUUGGGCGAAAGAGCUCGUAGGCGGUUUGUCGCGUCUGCCGUGAAAGUCCGGGGCUCAACCCGGAUCUGCGGUGGGUACGGGCAGACUAGAGUGAUGUAGGGGAGACUGGAAUUCCUGGUGUAGCGGUGAAAUGCGCAGAUAUCAGGAGGAACACCGAUGGCGAAGGCAGGUCUCUGGGCAUUAACUGACGCUGAGGAGCGAAAGCAUGGGGAGCGAACAGGAUUAGAUACCCUGGUAGUCCAAGCCGUAAACGUUGGGCACUAGGUGUGGGGACCAUUCCACGUUUUCCGCGCCGUAGCUAACG